AGUUUGAUCCUGGCUCAGAUUGAACGCUGGCGGCAGGCCUAACACAUGCAAGUCGAACGGCAGCACAGAAGAGCUUGCUCUUUGGGUGGCGAGUGGCGGACGGGUGAGUAAUGUCUGGGAAACUGCCCGAUGGAGGGGGAUAACUACUGGAAACGGUAGCUAAUACCGCAUAACGUCGCAAGACCAAAGUGGGGGACCUUCGGGCCUCACACCAUCGGAUGUGCCCAGAUGGGAUUAGCUAGUAGGUGGGGUAAUGGCUCACCUAGGCGACGAUCCCUAGCUGGUCUGAGAGGAUGACCAGCCACACUGGAACUGAGACACGGUCCAGACUCCUACGGGAGGCAGCAGUGGGGAAUAUUGCACAAUGGGCGCAAGCCUGAUGCAGCCAUGCCGCGUGUAUGAAGAAGGCCUUCGGGUUGUAAAGUACUUUCAGCGGGGAGGAAGGCGGUGAGGUUAAUAACCUCGCCGAUUGACGUUACCCGCAGAAGAAGCACCGGCUAACUCCGUGCCAGCAGCCGCGGUAAUACGGAGGGUGCAAGCGUUAAUCGGAAUUACUGGGCGUAAAGCGCACGCAGGCGGUCUGUUAAGUCAGAUGUGAAAUCCCCGGGCUUAACCUGGGAACUGCAUUUGAAACUGGCAGGCUUGAGUCUCGUAGAGGGGGGUAGAAUUCCAGGUGUAGCGGUGAAAUGCGUAGAGAUCUGGAGGAAUACCGGUGGCGAAGGCGGCCCCCUGGACGAAGACUGACGCUCAGGUGCGAAAGCGUGGGGGAGCAAACAGGAUUAGAUACCCUGGUAGUCCACGCCGUAAACGAUGUCGACUUGGAGGUUGUGCCCUUGAGGCGUGGCUUCCGGAGCUAACGCGUUAAGUCGACCGCCUGGGGAGUACGGCCGCAAGGUUAAAACUCAAAUGAAUUGACGGGGGCCCGCACAAGCGGUGGAGCAUGUGGUUUAAUUCGAUGCAACGCGAAGAACCUUACCUGGCCUUGACAUCCAGAGAACUUAGCAGAGAUGCUUUGGUGCCUUCGGGAACUCUGAGACAGGUGCUGCAUGGCUGUCGUCAGCUCGUGUUGUGAAAUGUUGGGUUAAGUCCCGCAACGAGCGCAACCCUUAUCCUUUGUUGCCAGCGGUUCGGCCGGGAACUCAAAGGAGACUGCCGGUGAUAAACCGGAGGAAGGUGGGGAUGACGUCAAGUCAUCAUGGCCCUUACGGCCAGGGCUACACACGUGCUACAAUGGCGCAUACAAAGAGAAGCGACCUCGCGAGAGCAAGCGGACCUCAUAAAGUGCGUCGUAGUCCGGAUUGGAGUCUGCAACUCGACUCCAUGAAGUCGGAAUCGCUAGUAAUCGUAGAUCAGAAUGCUACGGUGAAUACGUUCCCGGGCCUUGUACACACC
rnacentral:rRNA from 1 species